AUGGGAGACGGGGGAGCCGCGCGGCAUGUUGCCGAAAGGUAUUGCCGUGAGGAAAGUCCGGGCUUCGAAGGGCAAGGAUAACGGAUAACGUCCGCCGGGGGAAACCCCAGGGAAAGUGCAACAGAAAGCAAACCGCCUCUUUUUGAGGUAAGGCUGAAACGGUGAGGUAAGAGCUCACCCGUCGCCCGGGUAACCGGGAGGCGCGGUAAACCCUAUCCGAAGCAACACCGCAGGCGGGGCAAGAGGCUUGCCCGGCCCGUCCCCGCGGGUGGCACAGAACGGCGCGGCAACGCGUCUGUCAAGAUAGAUGGUUCCCGCUUCGCAAGAAGCACAGAACCCGGCUUACAAGUUUCCCUAAUAA
rnacentral:RNase_P_RNA from 1 species